rnacentral:rRNA from 1 species
GAACGCUGGCGGCGUGCCUAACACAUGCAAGUCAACUUGACGGAAGGAGCAAUCUGACCGUAGAGUGGCGCAAGGGUGCGUAACGCGUAAGUAACUUGCCCAAGGUAAGGAAUAACGUCGAGAAAUCGGCGCUAAUACCUCAUAAUGCAGCGGAUCCGCAUGGAUAUGUUGUUAAAGGUUUACCGCCUUGGGAUAGGCUUGCGUCUGAUUAGCUAGUUGGUGUGGUAACGGCACACCAAGGCUACGAUCAGUAACUGGUCUGAGAGGAUGAUCAGUCACACUGGAACUGAGACACGGUCCAGACUCCUACGGGAGGCAGCAGUGAGGAAUAUUGGGCAAUGCUCGAAAGAGUGACCCAGCAACGCCGCGUGGAGGAUGAAGGUAUUCUAUAUCGUAAACUCCUGUGAGAGCAGACGAAAGACAGAUUAUUAAUCUGGAUGACUGUAUGCUCAGAGGAAGCCCCGGCUAACUACGUG